GUCCUUGUCGAUUAGUGGUUAGAUCAUCACGUUGUGGCUCCCGCAAUCCCGUGAAGACGGAGGCUCGAAUCCUCCCUGGGACA
rnacentral:tRNA from 1 species